rnacentral:rRNA from 1 species
AUGUUCUUUCUGCAAUUGCAGAGAAACUUACCGCACUUGUUCUUUUUAUGCCCGAUCACUAGGAUUGCCUGGCGAACAGUGGGGUCAGUACUAGGCACUGAUUUGUGCUCGAGUAAUCUUUGUCAAUUUUACUCUUUGUUUUAUGCAUAUUGUCCCAAAGGGGAGCGGUUCUACACCACUGGAUUGGCAGCUGUGUGCCGGGCCAUCUGGAACUGUAGAAACAGAGCCACCUUCGAGUUCAACAAACCUGCAUCUCCUUUUGAGAUUGUUUUUACAACGAGCAUUCACUUAUCUUAUUGGGCAGGGCUUCUGAAGGGCGGGGACCGGCUGGACCUAGAGAGAGGAGCGACCCUUCUGAAGGAGAACACUAAAAGCAUGAUGAGGAUCUGUGCGUCGGUUUGCCCAGAUGAGUCCCUGGAGUGA